rnacentral:rRNA from 1 species
GGGCCCGCACAAGCGGUGGAGCAUGUGGUUUAAUUCGAUGCAACGCGAAGAACCUUACCAGGGUUUGACAUCCUGCGAAUCUCUUGGAAACGAGAGAGUGCCUUCGGGAACGCAGUGACAGGUGGUGCAUGGCUGUCGUCAGCUCGUGUCGUGAGAUGUUGGGUUAAGUCCUAUAACGAGCGCAACCCCUAUCGUUAGUUGCCAGCGAGUAAUGUCGGGAACUCUAACGAAACUGCCAGUGCAAACUGUGAGGAAGGUGGGGAUGACGUCAAAUCAUCACGGCCCUUACGUCCUGGGCUACACACGUGCUACAAUGGCCGGUACAGAGAGCAGCCACUUCGCAAGAAGGAGCGAAUCUAUUAAAACCGGUCUCAGUUCGGAUCGGAGUCUGCAACUCGACUCCGUGAAGCUGGAAUC